rnacentral:rRNA from 1 species
UACGGAGGGUGCAAGCGUUGUUCGGAAUUACUGGGCGUAAAGGGCGCGUAGGCGGUUGUGAUAGUCAGAUGUGAAAUCCUCCGGCUUAACUGGAGAACUGCAUCUGAAACUUCAUAGCUAGAGUACAGGAGAGGGAAACGGAAUUCCCGGUGUAGAGGUGAAAUUCGUAGAUAUCGGGAGGAACACCAGUGGCGAAGGCGGUUUCCUGGCCUGAUACUGACGCUGAGGCGCGAAAGCGUGGGGAGCAAACAGGAUUAGAUACCUGGUAGU